rnacentral:rRNA from 2 species
AAAUUGAAGAGUUUGAUCAUGGCUCAGAUUGAACGCUGGCGGCAGGCCUAACACAUGCAAGUCGAACGGUAACAGGAAGCAGCUUGCUGCUUUGCUGACGAGUGGCGGACGGGUGAGUAAUGUCUGGGAAACUGCCUGAUGGAGGGGGAUAACUACUGGAAACGGUGGCUAAUACCGCAUAACGUCGCAAGACCAAAGAGGGGGACCUUCGGGCCUCUUGCCAUCAGAUGUGCCCAGAUGGGAUUAGCUUGUUGGUGAGGUAACGGCUCACCAAGGCGACGAUCCCUAGCUGGUCUGAGAGGAUGACCAGCCACACUGGAACUGAGACACGGUCCAGACUCCUACGGGAGGCAGCAGUGGGGAAUAUUGCACAAUGGGCGCAAGCCUGAUGCAGCCAUGCCGCGUGUAUGAAGAAGGCCUUCGGGUUGUAAAGUACUUUCAGCGGGGAGGAAGGUGUUGUGGUUAAUAACCACAGCAAUUGACGUUACCCGCAGAAGAAGCACCGGCUAACUCCGUGCCAGCAGCCGCGGUAAUACGGAGGGUGCAAGCGUUAAUCGGAAUUACUGGGCGUAAAGCGCACGCAGGCGGUCUGUCAAGUCGGAUGUGAAAUCCCCGGGCUCAACCUGGGAACUGCAUUCGAAACUGGCAGGCUUGAGUCUUGUAGAGGGGGGUAGAAUUCCAGGUGUAGCGGUGAAAUGCGUAGAGAUCUGGAGGAAUACCGGUGGCGAAGGCGGCCCCCUGGACAAAGACUGACGCUCAGGUGCGAAAGCGUGGGGAGCAAACAGGAUUAGAUACCCUGGUAGUCCAUGCCGUAAACGAUGUCUACUUGGAGGUUGUGCCCUUGAGGCGUGGCUUCCGGAGCUAACGCGUUAAGUAGACCGCCUGGGGAGUACGGCCGCAAGGUUAAAACUCAAAUGAAUUGACGGGGGCCCGCACAAGCGGUGGAGCAUGUGGUUUAAUUCGAUGCAACGCGAAGAACCUUACCUGGUCUUGACAUCCACAGAACUUUCCAGAGAUGGAUUGGUGCCUUCGGGAACUGUGAGACAGGUGCUGCAUGGCUGUCGUCAGCUCGUGUUGUGAAAUGUUGGGUUAAGUCCCGCAACGAGCGCAACCCUUAUCCUUUGUUGCCAGCGAUUAGGUCGGGAACUCAAAGGAGACUGCCAGUGAUAAACUGGAGGAAGGUGGGGAUGACGUCAAGUCAUCAUGGCCCUUACGACCAGGGCUACACACGUGCUACAAUGGCGCAUACAAAGAGAAGCGACCUCGCGAGAGCAAGCGGACCUCAUAAAGUGCGUCGUAGUCCGGAUUGGAGUCUGCAACUCGACUCCAUGAAGUCGGAAUCGCUAGUAAUCGUGGAUCAGAAUGCCACGGUGAAUACGUUCCCGGGCCUUGUACACACCGCCCGUCACACCAUGGGAGUGGGUUGCAAAAGAAGUAGGUAGCUUAACCUUCGGGAGGGCGCUUACCACUUUGUGAUUCAUGACUGGGGUGAAGUCGUAACAAGGUAACCGUAGGGGAACCUGCGGUUGGAUCACCUCCUUA